AGUGAACGCUGGCGGUAGGCCUAACACAUGCAAGUCGAACGGCAGCACAGUAAGAGCUUGCUCUUACGGGUGGCGAGUGGCGGACGGGUGAGGAAUACAUCGGAAUCUACUUUUUCGUGGGGGAUAACGUAGGGAAACUUACGCUAAUACCGCAUACGACCUACGGGUGAAAGCAGGGGAUCUUCGGACCUUGCGCGAUUGAAUGAGCCGAUGUCGGAUUAGCUAGUUGGCGGGGUAAAGGCCCACCAAGGCGACGAUCCGUAGCUGGUCUGAGAGGAUGAUCAGCCACACUGGAACUGAGACACGGUCCAGACUCCUACGGGAGGCAGCAGUGGGGAAUAUUGGACAAUGGGCGCAAGCCUGAUCCAGCCAUACCGCGUGGGUGAAGAAGGCCCUCGGGUUGUAAAGCCCUUUUGUUGGGAAAGAAAAGCAGCAGGUUAAUACCCCGCUGUUCUGACGGUGCCCAAAGAAUAAGCACCGGCUAACUUCGUG
rnacentral:rRNA from 1 species